rnacentral:rRNA from 1 species
AAGGAUCAUUAAUGAGCGAGGGUCCUCCGGGGCCCGACCUCCCACCCUUUGAUGUUGAACAAACCUGUUGCUUUGGCGGGACGGUCUCCGGACCGCCGGUCUUCACGGAUCGGUCAGCGCCCGCCAGAGGACCAACCAAACACCAUUUUUAAUCGUCAGUCGGAGUAAACAUUUUAAUAAAUUAAAACUUUCAACAACGGAUCUCUUGGUUCUGGCAUCGAUGAAGAACGCAGCGAAAUGCGAUAAGUAAUGUGAAUUGCAGAAUUCAGUGAAUCAUCGAAUCUUUGAACGCACAUUGCGCCCUUUGGUAUUCCGAAGGGCAUGCCUGUUCGAGCGUCAUUAGACCAAUCAAGCUAUGCUUGGCCUUGGGCUGUCGCCCCCUCUCCGGAGGUGGGCGUGCCCCAAAUGACCCCCGGCGGAGUCGAUCCGGCCCUGGGCGUAGUAGAAAUUAUCACGUCGAGAGGGUCCGGUUGGCUUUUGCCGUCGAAACACCAACUCUUUUUUCAAAGGUUGACCUCGGAUCAGGUAGGGAUACCCGCUGAACUUAA